UACGGGGGGAGCAAGCGUUGUUCGGAUUUACUGGGCGUAAAGGGCGCGUAGGCGGCCAGCACAAGUCAGUUGUGAAAUCUCCGAGCUUAACUCGGAAAGGUCAACUGAUACUGUGCGGCUAGAGUGCAGAAGGGGCAACUGGAAUUCUUGGUGUAGCGGUGAAAUGCGUAGAUAUCAAGAGGAACACCUGCGGCGAAGGCGGGUUGCUGGGCUGACACUGACGCUGAAGCGCGAAAGCUAGGGGAGCGAACGGG
rnacentral:rRNA from 1 species